AUUGAACGCUGGCGGCAGGCUUAACACAUGCAAGUCGAGCGGGGGAAGGUAGCUUGCUACCCGACAUAGCGGCGGACGGGUGAGUAAUGCUUAGGAAUCUGCCUGGUAGUGGGGGACAACGUCGGGAAAGGGAUGCUAAUACCGCAUACGUCCUACGGGAGAAAGCAGGGGAUCUUCGGACCUUGCGCUAAUAGAUGAGCCUAAGUCGGAGUAGCUAGUUGGUGGGGUAAAGGCCUACCAAGGCGACGAUCGGUAGCUGGUUUGGGAGGAUGAUCCGCCACACUGGGACUGAGACCCGGACCAGACUCCCUCGAGAGGCAGCAGGGGGGAAUAUUUGACCAUGGGGGGAACCCUGAUCCAGCCCUGCCGCGUGUGUGAAGAAGGCCUUAUGGUUGUAAAGCACUUUAAGGUAGGAGGAGGCUACUUUAGUUAAUACCUAGAGAUAGUGGACGUUACUCGCAGAAUAAGCACCGGCUAACUCUGUGCCAGCCGCCGCCGUAA
rnacentral:rRNA from 1 species